ACCUCGGUUAAAACUCUGUUUGAAGGAUUUUUUUGUAUGCCGUCUUUUAAAAUUGACCAUUAUUUGGUAUGCCUUCUUCGAACAUGGUACAUACAUGACCAUCAUCGCCACGUCAAAGUGUUUCUGUUUAGUUCACUAAUUUAAAUUGUCGAACAAAUUAUGAGAGAUUUUAAAAAGUGAUAAGAGAACCGUCACAGGAUUCUGGUACCCGUUAACGCCACUGCCUCUUGCACAAACGAUAUUAGCACGCUAAUGGAGGAUGCGGCCAAUUACACGACAGAUAAGGUUGUUGCAGUGACCCAAGGACCAUCCCCAACGCCCCCAGUUAAUCCUAUUCAAGGGGAUGCAGAGUUUGAUGACUCUAUCUUCGGAAUUUCCAUCCGCGUUUACGAAGUGCUCCUGUAUGUGCUGCUCGCAAUUAUGCUAAUCGAGAUAGUCUUGCUCCUCUUUGUUCGUAUAACACGGCAACUCUACAAUGAAGAUUUUGAGGCUUUGGUGAAUUUUCAAGCUGGAGAUGAUGGUUUUGAUGACCCUGUUCUGGAGGUUGUAGUUCAAGACGGAAAUAUAAUUCGACCGGCUCCACCGGGAUAAAAUUUAUUAAGGACAGGCUCAAGAUUUGUUCCGAUUUUAUAUGUUACGACUCACACUAAAUAGUUGGUUAUGUUUAAUAUUUAUUGUGACAAAUAAAGUGCGAAUAAAAUAAUUUCGAAAUACCGAACUACGUUGUCCCCAUCAGAUUGCAGUCUGCAAUUUGCAGAUUGAAAACUUUUAAAAAUCUUCUAAAAUUUCUAGCACAAUUGUUUUAAAACUUAUGAGAACACGUAAAAGCGUACAAAGUUUCCUGUGAACCUUUCUUACUCUAAAAAAUGUCAGAAUAAUCACGUAUACCAAUAUCAAAGUCUACAUACAUACAUAUUAUGAUGCACAUAUUUGAGGGACGUGAGUUUUCAGGAAAAUGUGUAACAGUGAAUAUAAAAACGAAGAGUUUGCAUUCAUCUGUAUUCAUAUGUACAUAUAUAUCCAGACAAAUCAGGUAGUCUCCCUUCGACUGAAGUGAAUGUGCAAAUGUAUCAUUUCAAAAUACGACCCUUUCCUUCACACAUUUUUAAGCUGUUUCUUAAAUAUCUCGGUUAAAACUAAAAAUUCUCGCCACGUCAAAGUGUUUCCGUUUAGUUCACUAAUUUAAAUUGUUAAACAAAUUACGAGAGAUAUUUUAAAGUGACAUAUCACCGCAUAUCAAGGAAGGGGACCGUCACAGGAUUCUGGUACCCAAUCACGCCACUGCCCCUUACACAAACGAUACUAGCACGUUAAUGAAGGAUGCGGCCAAUUACACGGCAGAUUUUAAUGGAGGAUUUCACCCAUCUUGCAACGUUUUUGCAGUGACCCAAGGGCUAUCCCCAACGCCGCCAGUUAACCCAUUACACUUGCUCCUGCAUGUGCUGCUCGCAAGGAUGCUAAUCGAGAUGGUCUUGUUACUGUUACGCUUCGUUCAGAGAAGAUGGCAACCCAACGAUAAUGCAGAUUUAGAGGAACUAGUGGAUUUUGAAGAUGAAGAAGAUGAUUUUGAUGACCCUGUUCUGGGGGUUGACGGAAAUAUAACUCGACUGGCUCCACCGGGAUAAAAUGUAUUGGCUAAGAUUUUUUGAUACUCCGACUUUAUAAUACGUUACGGCUCAAAGUAUGUUAUGUUUAAUAUUUAUUGCAAAUAAUAAGGUGUCAAUAAACGGUUCGUCUUACUGACCUUA